AUGAGGACCUUGUGUUGGAACUGCCGUGGGAUUGGCGAUCCUGGGACAGUUCAUGAGCUCCGCGAUCUCGUGGGGGCUAGUGCGCCGUCGGUUCUAUGCAUUGUGGAGACUCAAUUAGCAAAGAAUCGAGUGGAAGGUUUGGCGGCUUCGUUAGGUUUUCAAAGUAGUUUUGCAGUAGCUAGUAGUGGCCGGAGUGGAGGCUUAUAUAGUUUUUGGAAGUCUGUUGUUAAUCUGAUAAUAAAGAAUUUUUCUCAGUAUCACAUUGACUCGUGGGUAAUGGAGCCAGGCAAUGUUCAAUGGCGCCUCACAUGUUUCUAUGGAGAGGCCAAUAGAAGUUUAAGAUACAAAACUUGGGACACGAUGAAGAAAUUGAGAGGAGAAAGUACCUUGUCGUGGCUUUGCAUAGGAGAUUUCAAUGAGAUACUCAGACAGGAGGAGCAAAUGGGCCCUAAUCCACGUGAUAGUGCUCAAAUGGUCGGGUUCAGAGAGGCCGUGGAUCUGUGCGGACUGGCUGAUAUUGGGUACAGGGGAUAG
rnacentral:rRNA from 1 species